UACGUAGGGGGCUAGCGUUGUCCGGAAUCAUUGGGCGUAAAGCGCGCGUAGGCGGCCAGAUAAGUCCGGUGUGAAAGUCAAAGGCUCAACCUUUGAAUGCCGCUGGAAACUGUCUGGCUAGAGUCCGGAAGGGGCGAGUGGAACUCCUGGUGUAGCGGUGAAAUGCGCAGAUAUCAGGAGGAACACCAAUAGCGAAGGCAGCUCGCUGGGACGGUACUGACGCUGAGGCGCGAAAGCGUGGGGAGCGAACAGG
rnacentral:rRNA from 1 species